CGGGAAAUCCGAGCCUCGAUGAUGGUGACGUCAAAAAUAGGUUUAAGUUGGUGCGUGUCAAUGAAACGAAUUUGUUCACCAUUAUUAUUAAAGGGAGGAAAUCGCGUCUCAACUGUACGCAAAAAAGACUUUGGCAUAUGCAUAGCACGAAAGUGUGAACCGGUGUUAUAUGUACGCAAAAGGAAGAUAGCGGGAAGGACUCUGCCAAGGGAUGAUUGCUUUUGUUGUAGCCGACUCAACUCCGUCCAUACAGAGGGACAGAGGAUGGAGAGGAAAGGUGCACUCGUAAAGCUCGCUGACCCAGACGCUAAAAUGAACCACCUUCUCAAUCAGGAGAUCCUCUGGCAGCCAUGACUUCAGUACAGUGUAAACCAAAGAUGUCACCGUGAACGUUAUCAUCACCGCUAAAAGGUUUUACUGGCGAAGUUCAAGUGGAUUUUGAAGGUCAAACAAGUAGGGGGCCUCCUUCACACAUCUCUGUGAAGACCUUACUGUGUCGGCUUAAGUGUUCUUUAGGAAGAUUUAACUCACAAAAUGUUUUGGUCGCAUCUUAAUA